rnacentral:rRNA from 1 species
UACGGAGGGGGCAAGCGUUGUUCGGAAUUACUGGGCGUAAAGGGCUCGUAGGUGGCCAACUAAGUCAGACGUGAAAUCCCCUCGGCUUAACCGGGGAACUGCGUCUGAUACUGGAUGGCUUGAGUUCGGGGAGAGGGAUGCGGAAUUCCAGGUGUAGCGGUGAAAUGCGUAGAUAUCUGGAGGAACACCGGUGGCGAAGGCGGCAUCCUGGACCGGUAGUUGACGCUGAGGCGCGAAAGCUAGGG